rnacentral:lncRNA from 1 species
UGUCUUCUUCUUCACUUCUAGUGGUCCCAUUUUCAAGCUUCUCUUCAUCCUUACUUCUAGAACUUGAAGGAAGUGUUUGAGACAUGUUUUCAGUCAUAAUCUUUCUAGUCCUGAAAAAGAAAGCAAACAAUUGUCACAAAAAUUCCAUGAAAAGUAAGCACCGUAAGCAUGUUAUAUAUCAGUAUAACACAACUAAUUAUGCAUACAUAAAGCAAUACUUUUCUACUGCUUCUUUCUUUUCUUCUCCAUACAGGAACCACUCUUUAUCACAAGCUUAUUAUGUAUGAUUAUGAAGAAUCAAGUCGAUCAACAAUUAUAAUUCAGAGAUAGAUAAGAAAAUUCAUACUCAGAACAUUAGAAGAGGCUUUUCUUCUUUAUUGCUUGGCGAAUUCCAAAUAAAUGGCACUAAUCAAAAACCUGAUAACUCCAAAACCAAUUAUGACCAUCAAAAUCAAAAUCAAGUCCAAUUCUUUCAAAUACAAAGUUAACUAGGAAUACAACCCUGAAGAGCUUUCUCGACGAUUUCCUGGAUAUUGGUUACCUUUGACGCAGCCGUGGCCGACGUCGUAAACUUGGCGGAGGACGGCGACUGGCUUCGUCUUGCUCACCAUCACCACUCAGACUUCGUCGACGCGACGAUUGGAUAUUUUGGCCGCUAAGUGGUCACGGAGGAUACAAUACCGUCGACUGCAGCGGAGUUGAACAUGGCUGAUUGAUUCUCCAGAUUGUCAUUCUGCUAGACCUCUUUCCCAUCUUCGGAAUGAGAGAAAAGAAAUCGUUCAAAAUCUCACCCUUGGAGGCCAGAUUUCUGAUAGGGUUUGGUAUUUAUACCAAGCCAUUAAGAAUCCAACAAAGUCGAGUACUUAUUGAAAUCGUUGAAAAUCGCUGGACCUUUGAAUACCAUCAGAUUUCGAUGGAUAAUUUUAAGUCUCAAUUGAAUACCAUAAGAUUUUAAAAGACUUUUUGAAAUCUUGAUUGAAUACCCAUAGACUUUUAGAAUACAAAAAAAUCUUCCAGAGUCUUAAUUGAAGACACCCCCCUUAAUUACAUUAGCUAUUAGCUAACCUCACAAUCAUAUCAUAUCAUUUCAUCAUCAAAUAUUCUUAUAAUUGUGCUGAUGUUCAUCGGGGAUAAAAUUAAUCUUGAUUCAUAAACACUACGAUUGGGGGAUAUUGAAUGAGACACGAACAGCAGUUUAUUAUGAUAAUUUUAAU